GCUCGUGUCAAGCUCUAUACAUCCAUAUCAUCAAUUUCCAGUUUUGAGUCUUCCUUGGAGCUCGAAUUUGAGGACCCAUUUUCUAGGGUUUUGGUGCAAUCUUGAGGCCUUGGAAAAGAACCGGUGGACGACAAUCCACCCCAACUUUGAAAGUUGCUAGAGGAGCAUUUUCCUUGUUAUUUUGUAAUAGACUACUCCUUUGUUCAUCCCUCAUUUUUUGUAAAAUUCCAAAGGUGUAAUGAUGUAAAUUUAUUUUGAAGAAACAUGAUCAUGUAAUACACUUAUGAUACUUGAUGACAUAUGGGAUGCGAACUUGAUGAUAUGUAACUUAUUGAUGAAUGGAAGGAUAAUCCUAGCUUGAAGCA